rnacentral:rRNA from 1 species
UCGAGGAUCUUCGUCAAUGGGGGAAACCCUGAACGAGCGAUGCCGCGUGAGCGAUGAAGCCCUUCGGGGUGUAAAGCUCUUUCGGCAGGGAAGAUAAUGACGGUACCUGCAGAAUCAGCUGCGGCUAACUACGUGCCAGCAGCCGCGGUAAUACGUAGGCAGCGAGCGUUGUUCGGAGUUACUGGGCGUAAAGGGUGUGUAGGCGGUGCUCUAAGUGUGGUGUGAAAUCUCCCGGCUCAACUGGGAGGGUGCGCUACGAACUGGAGUGCUCGAGUGCGGGAUGGGAGAGUGGAAUUCCUGGUGUAGCGGUGAAAUGCGUAGAUAUCAGGAGGAACACCGGUGGUGUAGACGGCUCUCUGGACCGCAACUGACGCUGAGACACGAAAGCGUGGGUAGCAAACAGGAUUAGAUACCCAUGUAGUCCCUGAGCGGGCUGGCAAGGCGCAU